AACGACUCUCGACAACGGAUAUCUCGGCUCUUGCAUCGAUGAAGAACGUAGCGAAAUGCGAUACUUGGUGUGAAUUGCAGAAUCCCGUGAACCAUCGAGUCUUUGAACGCAAGUUGCGCCCGAAGCCAUUAGGCUGAGGGCACGUCUGCUUGGGUGUCACAC
rnacentral:rRNA from 2 species